UACGAAGGGGGGCUAGCGUUGCUCGGAAUCACUGGGCGUAAAGCGCACGUAGGCGGCUUUCUAAGUCAGGGGGUGAAAUCCUGGAGCUCAACUCCAGAACUGCCUUUUGAUACUGGGAAGCUCGAGUCCGGAAGAGGUAAGUGGAACUCCGAGUGUAGAGGUGAAAUUCGUAGAUAUUCGGAAGAAACACCAGUGGCGAAGGCGGGCUUACUGGUCCGGUCUGAGCUGAGUGCGAAGCGUGGGGAGCAAACGGAUUGAGAAACCCAUGGUAG
rnacentral:rRNA from 1 species